rnacentral:rRNA from 1 species
UGUAGUCAUAUGCUUGUCUCAAAGAUUAAGCCAUGCAUGUCUAAGUAUAAGCAAUUAUACCGUGAAACUGCGAAUGGCUCAUUAAAUCAGUUAUCGUUUAUUCGAUGGUCCUCUACUUGGAUAACCGUGGUAAUUCUAGAGCUAAUACAUGCGAAAAACCCCGACUCUCGAAGGGGUGUAUUUAUUAGAUAAAAAACCAAUGCCCUUCGGGGCUCCGUGGUGAUUCAUAAUAACUCAACGUAGCGCAUGGCCUUGCGCCGGCGCAAGAUCGUUCAAAUACCUGCCCUAUCAAGUUUCGAUGUGAGGGUAGUGUCCUCAUAUGCUCGCAACGGGUAACGGGGAAU